CUUGCUGUCCGCAGAAAAGAAAGCAACAGUACUCAGCAGAAACAGUCUCUAAAAUUAACUGUAGGAGACGUGAUCUGUACAGGCAGUUAUCAAUUGAUAAAAGAGAUUUGCUUUUACCACAACGAUGAUUAAAAAAGCUUGAAUUAAAUAAGGGUCAAAACGCGCUGCUUGAAUAUACCAAACAAACUGCUGGGUUUGAGUUACCUACACAAAAAACUCUGACGAUGGCUGACCCACCAUGUGCUAAUGGGACAGCCGGUGUAUCUUCGGUUACGGAGGCAGUAGCUGAUUGUAACAAAGGAAAAAAUAUUACUGACCACUUCUCCGUUUCCGAACAUGCUUCGACCUCUGGUGUACCCUGUGAACAGCAUCAUGCAAAUACAUCUACUGUCAUAAAUAAAG